UACGUAGGGACCGAGCGUUGUCCGGAUUCAUUGGGCGUAAAGAGCUCGUAGGCGGUCUGUUGCGUCCGCUGUGAAAACUCGGGGCUUAACCCCGAGCCUGCAGUGGAUACGGGCAGACUAGAGGUAGGUAGGGGAGAAUGGAAUUCCAGGUGGAGCGGUGAAAUGCGUAGAGAUCUGGAAGAACACCAAAGGCGAAGGCAGCAUCCUGGGAAGUAACUGACGCUCAUGUGCGAAAGCUAGGGGAGCGAACGGG
rnacentral:rRNA from 1 species